GGGAAAGUAGCAUAAGUGGUUAAUGCGUCUCGCGCAAUCUUAGUUUGUAUAUCCGACAGUUCAAUUGUAUAGCGAGAAGUUCUCAGUUCGAAUCUGAGCUUUCCCG